rnacentral:rRNA from 1 species
UUUGAUCCUGCCUCAGAUUGAACGCUCCCGGCAUGCCUUACACAUGCAAGUCGAACGGCAGCACGGGUGCUUGCACCUGGUGGCGAGUGAAGAACGGGUGAGUAAUACAUCGGAACAUGUCCUGUAGUGGGGGAUAGCCCGGCGAAAGCCGGAUUAAUACCGCAUACGAUCUACGGAUGAAAGCGGGGGAUCUUCGGACCUCGCGCUAUAGGGUUGGCCGAUGGCUGAUUAGCUAGUUGGUGGGGUAAAGGCCUACCAAGGCGACGAUCAGUAGCUGGUCUGAGAGGACGACCAGCCACACUGGGACUGAGACACGGCCCAGACUCCUACGGGAGGCAGCAGUGGGGAAUUUUGGACAAUGGGCGAAAGCCUGAUCCAGCAAUGCCGCGUGUGUGAAGAAGGCCUUCGGGUUGUAAAGCACUUUUGUCCGGAAAGAAAUCCUGAGGGCUAAUAUCCUUCGGGGAUGACGGUACCGGAAGAAUAAGCACCGGCUAACUACGUGCCAGCAGCCGCGGUAAUACGUAGGGUGCGAGCGUUAAUCGGAAUUACUGGGCGUAAAGCGUGCGCAGGCGGUUUGUUAAGACCGAUGUGAAAUCCCCGGGCUCAACCUGGGAACUGCAUUGGUGACUGGCAAGCUAGAGUAUGGCAGAGGGGGGUAGAAUUCCACGUGUAGCAGUGAAAUGCGUAGAGAUGUGGAGGAAUACCGAUGGCGAAGGCAGCCCCCUGGGCCAAUACUGACGCUCAUGCACGAAAGCGUGGGGAGCAAACAG